rnacentral:rRNA from 1 species
GGCUUGCUUUGUUCGUUAGUGGCGGACGGCUGAGUAACGCGUGGGUGACCUACCCCGAAGUGGGGAAUAACUGCCCGAAAGGGUGGCUAAUACCGCAUACGAUCGUUCAUUCAUUUGUUCGAUCAAAGCAGUAAUGCGCUUUGGGAGGGGCCUGCGUCCGAUUAGCUCGUUGGUGGGGUAAUGGCUCACCAAGGCGACGAUCGGUAGGUGGUCUGAGAGGACGAUCACCCAGACUGGGACUGAGACACGGCCCAGACUCCUACGGGAGGCAGCAGUCGGGAAUUUUGCUCAAUGGGCGAAAGCCUGAAGCAGCAACGCCGCGUGAGGGAUGAAGGCCUUCGGGUUGUAAACCUCUUUUCUCAGGGAAGAUAAUGACGGUACCUGAGGAAUAAGCCACGGCUAACUACGUGCCAGCAGCCGCGGUAAUACGUAGGUGGCAAGCGUUGUCCGGAUUUACUGGGCGUAAAGAGCGCGCAGGCGGUCAGAUAAGUCGAAUGUGAAAGCCCCCGGCUUAACUGGGGAGGGUCAUUCGAUACUGUUCGACUCGAAGGCAGGAGAGGGAAGUGGAAUUCCCGGUGUAGUGGUGAAAUGCGUAGAUAUCGGGAGGAACACCAGUGGCGAAGGCGACUUCCUGGCCUGUUCUUGACGCUGAGGCGCGAAAGCUAGGGGAGCAAACGGGAUUAGAUACCCCGGUAGUCCUAGCUGUAAACGAUGGACACUAGGUGUUGGUGGUAUCAACCCCGCCAGUGCCGUANCUAACGCA